rnacentral:lncRNA from 1 species
ACACUGAUACAGCCGGCUCGGCGGUGGAGAGCCAUAACAAAAAACGUUAUCCUGAGGAGAGCACCGGUGGAUAGCAUGGUAAGUGUAUGUAUGUGGCGCGAACUCGUGGAGUGCGUGCCCUCAAAACUCACGCAAUCCUUGUGGCCUGGGUUGUCCUACCCAGCAGGUACCCCGGUAACCCGAGGUAUACAUAUUCCCACACGUAGACCUGCUGGUGGUGCGGCUAGCCUAUAGACCACGAGAGUGUUAAGAACCCACCUAACAUGUGCAUGGGGGGGGGCCAUGGUGAAGGCAUGAUCAACGUAUAUGGAGCUGGGUUAAGGUGCCGGGGACCUACAUAUCUGUACUAGCAUCUUUACUCAUCUAAACAAGCACGUUGCCAAGUCAGGAUACAUACAGGAAUUAAUUUCGUCGCA